rnacentral:rRNA from 1 species
UACGGGGGGAGCAAGCGUUGUUCGGAUUCAUUGGGCGUAAAGGGUGUGUAGGUGGCGCCGUAAGUCGGGUGUGAAAUUUCGGAGCUUAACUCCGAAACUGCAUUCGAUACUGCGGUGCUUGAGGACUGGAGAGGAGACUGGAAUUCAUGGUGUAGCAGUGAAAUGCGUAGAGAUCAUGAGGAAGACCAGUGGCGAAGGCGGGUCUCUGGACAGUUCCUGACACUGAGACACGAAGGCCAGGGGAGCAAACGGG